GUCGGGAUCUCGUAUGUGCUGGAUGCUUUCCGAGUGAAAUGGAUUCGUCUGCCCAAGGAUGGGUCUGCGGCCUAUCAGGUAGUAGUGGGUGUAAUGUACCUACUAGCCUACGACGGGUACGGGUUGUGAGAGCAAGAGCCCGGAGAUGGAUUCUGAGACAUGAAUCCAGGCCCUACGGGGCGCAGCAGGCGCGAAAACUUUACAAUGCGGGAAACCGUGAUAAGGGGACACCGAGUGCCAGCAUCAUAUGCUGGCUGUCCAGGUGUGCAAAAUACACCUGUUAGCAAGGGCCGGGCAAGACCGGUGCCAGCCGCCGCGGUAACACCGGCGGCCCGAGUGGUGAUCGUGAUUAUUGGGUCUAAAGGGUCCGUAGCCGGUUUGGUCAGUCCUCCGGGAAAUCUGACAGCUUAACUGUUAGGCUUUCGGCGGAUACUGCCAGACUUGGAACCGGGAGAGGUAAGAGGUACUACAGGGGUAGGGGUAAAAUCCUCUGAUCCAUUGAAGACCACCAGUGGCGAAGGCGGCUUGCCAGAACGCGCUCGACGGUGAGGGAUGAAAGCUGGGGGAGCAAACCGGAUUAGAUACCCGGGUAGUCCCAGCUGUAAACGAUGCAGACUCGGUGAUGGGCCGGCUUCAUGCCGGCUCAGUGC
rnacentral:rRNA from 1 species